rnacentral:rRNA from 1 species
UACGUAGGGUGCAAGCGUUGUCCGGAAUUAUUGGGCGUAAAGAGCUCGUAGGCGGUCUGUCGCGUCUGCUGUGAAAACUCGGGGCUUAACCCCGGGCCUGCAGUGGGUACGGGCAGACUAGAGUGCGGUAGGGGAGACUGGAAUUCCUGGUGUAGCGGUGAAAUUCGUAGAUAUUGGGAAGAACACCGGUGGCGAAGGCGGCUCACUGGCUCGUAUCUGACGCUCAGGCGCGACAGCGUGGGGAUCAAACAGG